rnacentral:rRNA from 1 species
GUAGGAAUAUUGCACAAUGGACAUUUAUUUGUCUGAUGCAGCGACGCCGUGUGCGGGAAGAAGGAUUUCGGUCUGUAAACCGACGUUAAAAAGGAGCGGCUAACUUCGUGCCAGCAGCAGCGGUAAUACGGGGGCUCCAAGCGUUGUCCGGUAUCAUUGGGCGUAAAGAGUUAUGUAGGCGGUCUUAUAAGUUAUUGGUUAAAUCUCCCGGCUCAACCGGGAAUCUGCUUGUAAUACUGUAAGACUAGAGAUAAUCAGGGGAAGAUAGAACGCAUGGUGUAGCGGUAAAAUGCUUUGAUAUCAUGCGGAAUACUAAAGGCGUAGGCAAUCUUCUGGGAUUUUUCUGACGCUGAGAUACGAAAGCGUGGGGAGCAAAACGGAUUAGAAACCCCAGUAGUCC